UACGAAGGGGGCUAGCGUUGUUCGGAAUUACUGGGCGUAAAGGGCGCGUAGGCGGUCCUGAUCGUCGGAUGUGAAAGGCCUGGGCUCAACCUGGGAACUGCAUCCGAUACGGCGGGACUGGAGUGUGGGAGAGGUUGGUGGAAUUCCCAGUGUAGAGGUGAAAUUCGUAGAUAUCGGGAGGAACACCGGUGGCGAAGGCGGCACCCUGGGCCAGUCCUGACGCUGAGGCGCGAAAGCGUGGGGAGCAAACAGG
rnacentral:rRNA from 1 species